rnacentral:rRNA from 1 species
UACGUAGGGGGCUAGCGUUGUCCGGAUUUAUUGGGCGUAAAGAGCGUGUAGGCGGCCAGGUAGGUCUGCUGUGAAAACUCGAGGCUCAACCUCGAGACGUCGGCGGAAACCAUCUGGCUAGAGUCCGGAAGAGGAGAGUGGAAUUCCUGGUGUAGCGGUGAAAUGCGUAGAGAUCCGGAGGAACACCAAAGGCGAAGGCAGUGUCCUGGGGAGUACCUGACGCUCAGGUGCGAAAGCCAGGGGAGCGAACGGG